rnacentral:rRNA from 1 species
AUGCAUAAUUCAAAGCGUAUAAGGUUAUAUGAAGUGAAGGAUGGAUGCCAUGCCGAGGCAUUUUUGAACAGUGUAUCCCUUGGCAAUGAGGAAGCUAUGCCCAUUGGGGAGAGGGUAGCCGUGCUGGAAAGGAAACAGAACUCACGUGUGCUCACAGUGAAGUACGGGCCUGGUGGCUUGCGUGAGAUCUCCUUCAACCCUAGCUCAAGAAGGCGCACUAAGGAAGACGAGCACAACGAAGAAGAGUAGAAGGACUACAAGAGGAGAAGCGUGCAGUCCCUGGGGUUGAAGCAGAACAAAGCCAAGUUCUAUUUAUUCGGCGGACGUAGAGGCAGAGGAGGUGGGGAUCGCGGGCGUGGCAGAGGCGGCAGAGGCAGAGGUGGUGGGGGCAGAGGCAGAGGCAGGGGCCGUGGUAUGAGUAGGGGAAGGGGAGGGGGCAGGAGCUGA